rnacentral:rRNA from 1 species
UGCAGUCGAGCGGCAGACAGGUAGCAUGUUGCUGCUCGUGUGGGCGGAGGGGUGAGUGAGGCUUAUGAAUCUGACUCUUAGUGGGGGAGGGGGAUUCCAUAGGAAUGCUUAUACCGCUAACGUCCUACAGCAAAAGGCAGGGGAUCGUCAGACCUUGCCCUUGUACAUGAGCCUGAGUCGGAUUAACUUUUUGGUGGGGUAAAGGCCUACCAAGGCGACGGUCUGUAUCGGGUCUGAGAGGAUGAUCCGCCACACUGGGACUGAAACAGAGCCCAGACUCCUACUGGAGGCAGCAGUGGGGAAGAUUGAACUAUGGGCACGGGCCUGAUCCAGCCAUGCCCCUUGUGUGUAGAAGGCCAUAGGGUUGUAAUUCACUUUCCCCGAGGAGGAGGCAACUUUACUUAAUACCUAUACAUAGUGGACGUUACUCUCCCAAUAAACACCGCCUAACUCUGUGCCAUCACCCCCGGUACUACAAAGGGUGCGGUCGUUACUCUGAUUUACUGUGCGUAAAGCACGCCUAGGCUGCUAAUUAAUUCAAAUGUGAUAUCCCCGAGCUGAACUUGGGAAUUGCAUUCCAUACUGGUCAGCUAGACUGUGGUAUAGGAUGGUAUAAUUCCAUGUGUAGCGGUGAAAUGCGUAGAGAUCUGGACGAGUACCGAUGGCGAAGGCAGCGCUCUGGCCUAACACUGACGCUAACUGCGAAAGCAUGGCGAGCAAACAAGAUUAGAUACCCUGGUAGUGCUAUGCCGUACACGAUAUCAACUAAACUGUUGUGGUCGUGUGAGCUUUAGUGGCGCAGCUAACGCUAUAACUAUACCUCCUCGGCGAGUACGGUCCCAUCACUAAAACUCAAAUGAAUUG